rfam:Vitis vinifera, whole genome shotgun sequence of line PN40024, unoriented chromosome 18, chr18
ACGACCUUACUUGAACAGGAUCUGUUCUAUAGGCUCGUACCUCUGUAUCCUUGAGUUCAAAGGAGACAGGAACUUCAGUCUGGUGGAUGAACUAAGACCGUUUGAUCAGAGCGUGAUUAGCAGUUAGAUGGUCCACGGAUCAUGCAACGGCAGAGGAUCGUUCCCAACAAGCUUUCCCUGGUUGGGAUGAUCAGGCGGUUGUCUGACAGACU